rnacentral:rRNA from 1 species
AUUGAACGCUGGCGGCAGGCCUAACACAUGCAAGUCGAGCGAGCGGCGGACGGGUGAGUAAUGUAUGGGGAACUGCCCGAUAGAGGGGGAUAACUACUGGAAACGGUAGCUAAUACCGCAUACCAUCGGAUGAACCCAGAUGGGAUUAGCUAGUAGGUGGGGUAAUGGCUCACCUAGGCGACGAUCCCUAGCUGGUCUGAGAGGAUGAUCAGCCACACGGGAACUGAGACACGGCCCAGACUCCGACGGGAGGCAGCAGUGGGGAAUAUUGGGCAAUGGGCGAAAGUCUGAUCGAGCAACGCCGCGUGUGUGAAGAAGGUUUUCGGAUCGUAAAGCUCUUUUGUCAAGGAAGCGGUAUUUACACAGGAAGCACCGGCUAACUCCGUGCCAGCAGCCGCGGUAAUAC